CUACGGAGGGUGCAAGCGUUGUUCGGAAUCACUGGGCGUAAAGGGCGCGCAGGCGGUUUGGUAAGUCAGAUGUGAAAGCCCACGGCUCGACCGUGGAAGUGCAUUUGAAACUGUCAGACUUGAGUACUAGAGGGGAAAGUGGAAUUCCCGGUGUAGAGGUGAAAUUCGUAGAUAUCGGGAGGAAUACCGGUGGCGAAGGCGACUUUCUGGCUGGAUACUGACGCUGAGGCGCGAAAGCGUGGGGAGCAAACAGGAUUAGAAACCCUAGUAGUCC
rnacentral:rRNA from 1 species